rnacentral:rRNA from 1 species
CAGUAGCCGCGGUAAAACGGAGGGUGCAAGCGUUAAUCGGAAUUACUGGGCGUAAAGCGCACGCAGGCGGUCUGACAAGUCAGAUGUGAAAUCCCCGGGCUUAACCUGGGAACUGCAUUUGAAACUGUCAGGCUGGAGUCUUGUAGAGGGGGGUGGAAUUCCAGGUGUAGCGGUAAAAUGCGUAGAGAUCUGGAGGAAUACCGGUGGCGAAGGCGGCCCCCUGGACAAAGACUGACGCUCAGGUGCGAAAGCGUGGGGAGCAAACAGGAUUAGAUACCCCGGUAGUCCCUGUCUCUUAUAC